UCCUUGCCUGUAAGCAAAAGAGAGAGGGGAGGUGAAAAACAGACACAUUAAGUGCCAACGCUUACGUUAAUACAGCAUUAAGGUUGAAAAUGUAAUCUCCUAGGAGUCAGGAAAUUCCGAACAAGGGGUUUCCAUAGCAACUCAGCCACACUGCUCCUCUGUCCAUUUGGGCCCUGUUUUCCUUGUUAAAUAUGAUCCCGUCGUAUAUUAUAUUUUAACCAGCUAAAUGUGCUACCCACAGCACACAGAACUCUAGCGAUGGCUCACGAAGCUGCCAGAAAUGAGUGUGUGUGAGUGCAUGUGUGGCAAGGAGCAGGUGCCUGUAGAGUGAGCCUGACAUAACACAGCCACAUCCUGGUAUCUAAUAAAUGAGUCGUAAUUGCAUUAAGAACAGCUCCCUGAUACAUCAGUAAACAAGGGCUCUGCAACCUUUGUGCUCAGAAAGGGUGGAUCAGAGUGCCCACUCUGGGUGGGUGGUAGGCACAGUAGGACUCCUCCCAGACCCCAAGAGGAAACACCAGUCUCCAGCCUGAAUGCUCAGGAGCCUUCUUAGAUGGCGCUGUCAGGAUGUGGGUCAGAAUUACCUGGUCCACUGACUCUUCAUGAGCGCCAGCCAAUCAGAGAUGAUCUGUCACUGUUCAUUAACAUCCCCCGGGUUCGCCCACACAGCAAACACACGCAGAGGAAAUGUGACCCCCCUCCGCCCCCACCAAACACACACAGCACAGUGGACAAAAGCUUUCUAUGUGGCUGCAGGGAUGUUAGGAAGGGAGCUGGGAAAAAUGAACCGGAGGUGGGGCAGUGGGAUGACUAAGUAACAGAAUGUGUGAAACAGCUGCCCCAUAAUGCAGUGGAAAAAGGCUGGAAUUUUUGACUCAGACUGCUGGGGCUCAGUUAUCUCCCAGACAUGUGGUCUUCAGCAAGCCCCUUAAUUUCUCUUCAUCUUAGUUUCUCAUCUGCAAAAUUGGGAUAAAAUUACCAUUAACCUCACACAGGCUUGUUGAGGGAUUAAAUGGGAUAAUUGAUGCACAAGCUUGCUGGAAACAUCUAAAUCCCGAAUACACAUGUCAGGCUGCCAGGGAGCUCUAGAAAGCCAUGCUGCCUUCUGGAUUCAUACACUGGGAUCUAGAAAUUUUGAGCCUGAUUCUGAGAUUUUUCCAGUGUGUUCCAGAUGUAUUAUAGGGUCUAGAACAAGGGUAGCCAAACACUUUCUGGGGAGAUUCAAAGAGUAUUAUGUUGAGCUCUGGAGGCCACAUUGUAACUUCUCUGCUCUAGGCUGUACAUAAAUAACUGAAUGAAAGAGAGUUUCAAUAAAGCUUUAUUUUCAAAACCAGGAAGUAGACGGAGCUUCUGAUCCAUGGGCUUCAGUGUUCUGGUCCCUGGUCUACAAUUUUCUAUGUAGGGAAGUAUGUGGUAAUUGUGAAUAUAGCUCUUCUGCUGAGAAUUCAACUCUUUCUCCUACCUCCACCCAUCCCCACACAGACAUAGCCUCUUUUUCUAGCCAACUUCACCUCCUAAAAGCACUGAGCAUGACCUGCAAGGAGUAGCUGCAUUAGCUUCCCGACCCUUGCCUGCCUCUGUCAUCCACUGGAAGACUCUACAACAACCAGCUCUGCUACCCAGAGCCACAGGUGAAAAGAACCAAGUGCCUUGAAACAGGAUGGUCUGUCAGCCUUAAGGAAACAGCAGUUUUGAAGGGAGCAAAAUCAACAAUGCAUGGUGGGUAGCAAAGUCAUUCUGCAGUGUCAAAAGGGCUGGACAUCCCGACAUGUGCUCUGUACCCUCAGCAGAUGUUCCUGGAGGCCAAGAUCUGUCUUUCCAACUCCUGAGCAGCAGCUGCCGUCACUCUUCAAGGUCACUCGUUUGGCCAGCACCUCAUCAUUUGCUUUGUCUGUCCCAACAACACUUUGUCCAUACUUCUGUGAUGCAGGCAACCUGUAUCACUGAGGCCAUCUGUAUCCCAACAGAUGCAAGUUAAAGCCAAAAAGGCACCAUGUGCCUUAGGAUCUGGGUGCCUUUCAUGUCUCCAAGCAUGGGGCCUGUGGUGUGGACAAGGAACAGUUUGGGGAAAUGAGACCCAGAGCAGUGUCCUCCAUAACUCUCCCUCAGGUGACCUGACACUCGGCACCCUGUUGCCUCAUGAGGACCCCCAACUCCACACUUACACCAGCAUCUCCUGUAAGCCUAAUCCAAGAACAACCCAGAUGAGAGAUGCAAACUAGCUGCUCAAUAAAAUGCCAGUUGAACAAAUGAA